rnacentral:snoRNA from 1 species
CUUCCCCGUGAUGAGACGGUUUUCACAGACCUGUACUGAGUUCCGUGAGGAUGGAAAGCUCUGAGGAGAU